rnacentral:rRNA from 1 species
UACGUAGGGACCAAGCGUUGUCCGGAAUCAUUGGGCGUAAAGAGCGUGUAGGCGGCUUGUUAAGUCUUGCGUGAAAUCUCGGGGCUCAACCCCGAGCGGUCGUGAGAAACUGGCAGGCUAGAGUGCGGGAGAGGAGAGUGGAAUUCCUGGUGUAGCGGUGAAAUGCGCAGAUAUCAGGAAGAACACCCGUGGCGAAGGCGGCUCGCUGGAACGCAACUGACGCUGAGACGCGAAAGCGUGGGGAGCAAACAGG